CCUACGGGAGGCUGCAGUGAGGAAUAUUGGUCAAUGGACGAGAGUCUGAACCAGCCAAGUAGCGUGAAGGAUGACUGCCCUAUGGGUUGUAAACUUCUUUUAUAUGGGAAUAAAAUGUUCCACGUGUGGGAUUUUGUAUGUACCAUAUGAAUAAGGAUCGGCUAACUCCGUGCCAGCAGCCGCGGUAAUACGGAGGAUCCGAGCGUUAUCCGGAUUUAUUGGGUUUAAAGGGAGCGUAGGUGGAUUGUUAAGUCAGUUGUGAAAGUUUGCGGCUCAACCGUAAAGUUGCAGUUGAAACUGGCAGUCGUGAGUACAGUAGAGGUGGGCGGAAUUCGUGGUGUAGCGGUGAAAUGCUUAGAUAUCACGAAGAACUCCGAUUGCGAAGGCAGCUCACUGGACUGCAACUGACACUGAGGCUCGAAAGUGUGGGUAUCAAACAGGAUUAGAUACCCCGGUAGUC
rnacentral:rRNA from 1 species